rnacentral:rRNA from 1 species
CCCUUAGACACUCUCGGCGGCACGCGCGCUACAAUGGGUGGAAGAACGUGUUACUGCCUCCGAAAGGAGGGGUGAAUCACGAAUUCUUGCCCGUGAAUGGGAUAGUUUGUUGCAAUUUUCGGACUUGAACUAGGAAUCCCUUGUAAACAUGCUCAAGAAUAGCGUGUUGAAUACGUCCCUGCCGUUUGUACACACCGCCCGUCGUUUCUUCCGACUGAUACUCAUUGUGAGUUGCAAGGACCCUUUAUUGGGAAAUUGCUGCAAAUGCUUUGUAUUGGAAGAAGAAAAAGUCGUAACA